CAUGGUUUGAUGUGGGAGGCUAUUGUCAUGGCUCAUCACCAAAACACGCUUAAAUUAUUAAAAAUCUGUGUCGCCAUUCAAAAAGGUUGCACCUAGUAUAUAUGGGGUUCAAAUUACUUGUAAUCAGGAGCUCGAUCUCUUGAGAGGUGCACCAUGGCUUGCCACAAGGUCACAACUGGUCCCUGGAGAGCCGCUGGUGGUGACGGGCUGCCUGUGCCCUCUCUGCGGCAAAACUCCACACAUACUCCACUCACCAAGUUCCAGAGGGAGAGGAUCACCGGCCGUACUAAAGGAAGUGGCUCUAUGUAGGGAUGGAACAUGGCAACUGCACCAGCUGGGAUACACCUAGCCAACUAUUGUGUUAAGAAUAUGGAGAAAGACGGACCAAGGCAGGAG